rnacentral:rRNA from 1 species
UACGAACCGUCCAAACGUUAUUCGGAAUCACUGGGCUUAAAGGGUGCGUAGGCGGCCCGGAAAGUUGGGUGUGAAAUCCCUCGGCUCAACCGAGGAAUUGCGCCCAAAACUACCGGGCUUGAGGGAGAUAGAGGUAAGCGGAACUUAGGGUGGAGCGGUGAAAUGCGUUGAUAUCCUAAGGAACACCAGGAGCGAAAGCGGCUUACUGGGUCUCUUCUGACGCUGAGGCACGAAAGCUAGGGGAGCGAACGGG